UGGGGAAUAUUGCACAAUGGGCGAAAGCCUGAUGCAGCAACGCCGCGUGAGUGAUGAAGGUCUUCGGAUUGUAAAGCUCUGUCUUUUGGGACGAUAAUGACGGUACCAAAGGAGGAAGCCACGGCUAACUACGUGCCAGCAGCCGCGGUAAUACGUAGGUGGCGAGCGUUGUCCGGAUUUACUGGGCGUAAAGGGUGCGUAGGCGGAUGUUUAAGUGAGAUGUGAAAUACCCGGGCUUAACUUGGGUGCUGCAUUUCAAACUGGAUAUCUAGAGUGCAGGAGAGGAGAAUGGAAUUCCUAGUGUAGCGGUGAAAUGCGUAGAGAUUAGGAAGAACACCAGUGGCGAAGGCGAUUCUCUGGACUGUAACUGACGCUGAGGCACGAAAGCGUGGGUAGCAAACAGGAUUAGAUACCCUGGUAGUCCACGCCGUAAACGAUGAGUACUAGGUGUAGGAGGUAUCGACCCCUUCUGUGCCGCAGUAAAACACAUUAAAGUACUC
rnacentral:rRNA from 1 species